UGAGGAAUAUUGGUCAAUGGACGGAAGUCUGAACCAGCCAAGUAGCGUGCAGGAUGACGGCCCUAUGGGUUGUAAACUGCUUUUAUGUGGGAAUAAAGUCAGGGACGUGUCCCUGUUUGCAUGUACCACAGGAAUAAGGACCGGCUAAUUCCGUGCCAGCAGCCGCGGUAAUACGGAAGGUCCGGGCGUUAUCCGGAUUUAUUGGGUUUAAAGGGUGCGCAGGCGGCGCGCCAAGUCAGCGGUCAAAGUUCCGGGCUCAACCCGGUGUCGCCGUUGAAACUGGCGUGCUCGAGUGCGUGCGAGGAAGGCGGAAUGCGUUGUGUAGCGGUGAAAUGCAUAGAUAUGACGCAGAACUCCGAUUGCGAAGGCAGCUUUCCAGCGCGCUACUGACGCUGAGGCACGAAAGCGUGGGGAUCGAACAGGAUUAGAUACCCUGGUAGU
rnacentral:rRNA from 1 species